UAUAAGUACUGCAUACAAAAAGUCAAACAUUGACCAUGUUUACUUUUCAGCAGAUAUCGAAAUGGGUCAAGAAGUGGAGAUAGAGCUGCCAAUUACAAGUGAUGCCCCAGCAGAGUGUGCAGCUGUGGAAAUAAUUGACACACAGACAGAAGACUGCACAAAUGGUGACAGCAAAAAAAUGCAAACCACCACACUGGAGCCAUAUGUUUAGAUUACAUAACAGAUAAGAGGGCUCCCCAGAAGUGUUUCUCUAAAAGAAUGAAGACAUUUAAG